rnacentral:rRNA from 1 species
AUUGAACGCUGGCGGCAUGCCUAACACAUUCAAGUCGAGCGGAGUGGCGGACGGGAGAGUAAUGACUACGAACCUACCCGGUCGCGGGGGAUAACGUCCGGAAACGGUCGCUAAUACCGCAUCAUAUUAGAUGAGCCUAGAUCGGAUUAGCUAGUUGGUGGGGUAAAGGCCUACCAAGGCGACGAUCCGUAACUGGUUUGAGAGGACAACCAGUCACACUGGAACUGAAACACGGUCCAGACUCCUACGGGAGGCAGCAGUGGGGAAUAUUGGACAAUGGGCGAAAGCCUGAUCCAGCCAGGCCGCGUGUGUGAAGAAGGUCUUCGGAUUGUAAAGCACGUUAAGAUGGAAGGCGUUACCAACAGAAUAAGCACCGGCUAACUUCGUGCCAGCAGCCGCGGUAAUAC